CCUGCCAAACCCGGAGGGCGGCGCGCGCGAACCGUGUCCGAACCGCACGGCGGCGUCCUGGGGGGUCCACUGUGAGGACGGGGGGUCCACUGUGAGGACGGAGCUUCCUCUCCUCAGGACCCACCCAGGAGGGGCCGGGGCUUGGGACACCUGGGGACACCUGGGGCCGCGUCCGCUGUGAGGACAGGGAGACGCUGCUGCAGCUCCGGGACACCUGGGGCCACCGAGGCGAAGCAGGCGUAACCCAACACCUAUCCUCAGCUUUAAGAAUCCAAUAUUACCUUCACUCUGUGUGGAGACCGCAGUCCUCUGGAAAGGUGAAAGGGCUAAUCCUACUCUACAGAAGACUCCAGCUAAAUCAGACGCCUGACUAUCUCCAACACCCAUAGCUUACUGCGGGUUUGAACUGCUCCAAAGUAAAACGUAUAAUUAAGUCCUGUUGAGUUAACAUAUGGAAGGCCUUUCCUAACCACAGAUCUCCUAAUAGAUGAAAUGAAUCUCCAUUACAAAAAUAUCAAUCUAGGACAGGUGCAAAGGCACUCCGUGCAUAUGGAAACAAG
rnacentral:lncRNA from 10 species